rnacentral:rRNA from 1 species
UAUUAUUUUAGCGGCGGACGGGUGAGUAACGUGUGGGUAACCUGCCUUUUACUGGGGAAUAACCACUGGAAACGGUGACUAAUACCGCAUACGGUUCUUGGAAGGCAUCUUCUAAGAAAGAAAGGAUUUAUUCGGUAAAAGAUGGGCCCGCAUCUGAUUAGCUAGUUGGUGAGAUAACAGCCCACCAAGGCGACGAUCAGUAGCCGACCUGAGAGGGUGACCGGCCACAUUGGGACUGAGACACGGCCCAAACUCCUACGGGAGGCAGCAG